CCUACGGGUGGCAGCAGUGAGGAAUAUUGGUCAAUGGCCGGAAGGCUGAACCAGCCAUGCCGCGUGAAGGUCAGUGCCCUAUGGGCGUUAAACUUCUUUUGUGCGGGAGCAAUAAUGGUCACGUGUGGCCAGACGAGAGUACCGUACGAAUAAGCAUCGGCUAACCCCGUGCCAGCGGCCGCGGUAAUACGGGGGAUGCAAGCGUUAUCCGGUUUUUUUGGGGUUAAAGGGGGCGUAGGCUGUGAGGUAAGUCAGCGGGGAAAUGCCCCCGCUCAACGGGGUGAAGUGCCAUUGAUACUCGCUUGCUUGAGUGCGGAUGCCGUAGGAGGAAUGUGUGGUGUAGCGGUGAAAUGCAUAGAUAUCACACAGAACACCGAUUGCGAAGGCAUCUCACGAGUCCGCGAUUGACGCUGAUGCACGAAAGCGUGGGUAUCAAACAGGAUUAGAUACCCCAGUAGUC
rnacentral:rRNA from 1 species